rnacentral:rRNA from 1 species
AUUGAACGCUGGCGGCAGGCCUAACACAUGCAAGUCGAACGAGUGGCGGACGGGUGAGUAAUGUCUGGGAAACUGCCUGAUGGAGGGGGAUAACUACUGGAAACGGUAGCUAAUACCGCAUACCAUCAGAUGUGCCCACAUGGGAUUAGCUUGUUGGUAGGGUAACGGCUCACCAAGGCGACGAUCCCUAGCUGGUCUGAGAGGAUGACCAGCCACACUGGAACUGAGACACGGUCCAGACUCCUACGGGAGGCAGCAGUGGGGAAUAUUGCACAAUGGGCGCAAGCCUGAUGCAGCCAUGCCGCGUGUAUGAAGAAGGUCUUCGGAUUGUAAAGCACUUUAAUUUGGGAGGCGUUACCCGCAGAGGAAGCACCGGCUAACUCCGUGCCAGCCGCCGCGGUAAUUC